GGGGGGGGGGGGGGGGGGGGGGGGGGGGGGGGGGGGGGGGGGGGGCGGGGGGGGGGGGGCUCGGUGGGGGGGGAGUGGGGGGGGGGGGGGGAGGACAGGGGAGUCUGGCGAGUCGUGGGGGCUGGCGUAGGGGCACUGACGCUGAUGGCGCAUCCGACGUGCGGGGGGCAGAUGCGGGUCGCAAGACCACUCGCUAGUGGAUGCGCCGCUGGCGGAUUAGCUCGUUGUCGGGGUAAUGGCCCACCACGGCGGCGCCACGUAGCUGGUCUGAGAGUAUGAUCAGCCACACUGGAACUGAGACACGGUCCAGACUCCUACGGGAGGCAGCAGUGGGGAAUAUUGGACAAUGGGCGCAAGCCUGAUCCAGCCAUACCGCGUGGGUGAAGAAGGCCUUCGGGUUGUAAAGCCCUUUUGUUGGGAAAGAAAUCUUUCAGGCUAAUACCCUGGGAGGAUGACGGUACCCAAAGAAUAAGCACCGGCUAACUUCGUG
rnacentral:rRNA from 1 species